UUUUGUUUUAACUAAAAUUCAGCUCAAAUUCACUCCAAAUAAAAUCCCAAACAAACCCAAAUGCACACCAAAUUGUCUCUCCUCAGCCCCAUUCCCUCUCUCAUCUCCUCCUUCCUUCCAGUUCGCCACCCUUUUUUCUCACUCACUCCAUUACUCUUUUCCUCUCUCUGAAUUCCAAGUUCUCACUUUCCUUCCUCCUUUAUUUUCCUUCCAUUUGAGUUUUGGAUUUUUUUUUUUUCUCAUCUGUGUAUGGAAUGACGGACUAUCGGAUAACGCCGACGAUGAAUCUGUGGACUGACGACAACGCAUCAGUCAUGGAAGCCUUUAUGAACUCCGAUCUCGCUUCUCUUUGGCCGCCGCCGCAAUCUGCUGCUUCCACUUCCACUCCUGCGCCACCCAACGCCGACCCCAACAGGUCUUUCAUCAACCAAUCUCAGCCGCUCUUUAAUCAGGAAACUCUCCAGCAGCGUCUCCAGGUCUUGAUCGAGGGGGCUAGGGAGAGCUGGACCUACGCUAUCUUCUGGCAAUCGUCUGACGAUUACUCCGGUGCAUCGGUGUUGGGGUGGGGUGAUGGGUACUAUAAAGGAGAGGAGGAUAAGGGUAAAGGCAUAUCUAAGGGUCCUAGCUCCUCAGCUGCAGACCAAGAACACCGAAAGAAGGUGCUCCGUGAGCUCAAUUCGCUGAUCUCAGGUUCCACCACAGUCACCGACGAUGCCAUUGAUGAAGAAGUCACUGAUACCGAGUGGUUCUUUCUCGUCUCCAUGACUCAGUCGUUUGUUAAUGGAAGUGGGUUGCCGGGUCAAGCUUAUUUUAAUGGGAAUCCGGUCUGGGUUGCUGGCCCUGACCGGCUUUCUACAUCGCCGUGUGAGCGCGCCAGGCAGGGCCAAGUUUUUGGGUUGCAGACCUUGGUGUGUAUCCCAUCAGCGAAUGGAGUUGUUGAGCUGGGUUCAUCUGAGAUGAUUUAUCAGAGCUCGGAUCUUAUGAAUAAGGUUAGGGUUUUGUUUAAUUUCAGUAAUCUAGAGGUGGGUUCAUGGCCGAUUGGAACGAAUCCUGACCAGGGUGAGAAUGAUCCAUCAUCGCUGUGGAUCAGUGAUCCAUCGCAGAGUGGGAUUGAAAUGAAGGAUGGAAAUAGCACAGUUCCUUCAUCAGGUGGCACUACAAAUGGCAAUAAUAACAAUAGCAAUAACAAUAAUAAUCAUCAUGGCUCGAAAGGGAUUCAAUUUGGGAAUCCCAAUUCGAGUAGCGUGACUGAACACCCAAGUGGAAUUCAUAUGCAGAAUCAUUAUCAGGGCCAUCAGCAGCAACAACAGACGACACAGACACAGAGCUUUUUUACUCGUGAGUUGAACUUUGGGGAAUAUAGUGCUUUUGAUGGUAGUAGUGCUAGGAAUGGGAAUUCAAAUCUGUUGAAGCCAGAAUCGGGGGAAAUUUUGAAUUUUGGGGAGAGUAAGAGGACUUCUUGUAGUGCAAAUGGAAAUUUCUUUUCAGGUCAUUCGCAGGUUGCAGUGGAGGAGAACAACAAGAAGAAAAGAUCCCCAACCUCAAGGGGUAGCAACGAAGAAGGGAUGCUUUCUUUUACUUCUGGUGUUGUCUUGCCUUCUUCUGGUGUGGUGAAAUCAAGUGGUGGUACGGGAGAUUCAGAUCACUCUGAUCUCGAAGCCUCUGUUGUUAGACAAACAGAUAGCAGCAAAGUUGUGGAACCUGAAAAGAGGCCACGAAAACGGGGAAGAAAACCAGCGAAUGGUAGAGAAGAGCCAUUGAAUCAUGUUGAAGCUGAGAGGCAGAGAAGAGAGAAACUUAACCAAAGGUUCUACUCCUUGCGAGCUGUAGUUCCCAAUGUGUCAAAAAUGGAUAAAGCUUCGCUUCUUGGAGAUGCCAUCUCUUAUAUCAAGGAGCUUAAAUCAAAGCUGCAAGCCUCAGAGUCUGUUAAGGAGGAGUUGGAGAAGCAAGUGGAAUCAUUGAAGAAGGAGUUUGCUAACAACGAUUCAUGCCUAGGGCCACCUCCUCGUGAUCAAGAACUCAAGACGUCAAAUACCCAUGGAAGCAAAGCCAUAGAAAUAGAUAUCGAUGUGAAGAUAAUCGGAUGGGAUGCAAUGAUAAGAAUCCAAUGUAGCAAAAAGAAUCACCCAGCAGCUAGAUUAAUGGCAGCUUUGAAAGAGUUGGACCUUGAUGUUAACCAUGCCAGUGUGUCAGUGGUGAAUGAUUUGAUGAUCCAGCAAGCCACAGUGAAGAUGGGGAGUAGAUAUUACACCCAAGAGCAACUCAGGGUAGCCCUAUCAACCAAAGUUGGUGACACCUGACAUGGGAAUUGCUAAAGUUUAGCAAUUGGUAUAGAGCUUGGUAAGAUUAGUAUUAUUAUUAUAAUAAUUAUUAUUAUUAUAUAAGACCUUAAUUAAUUUGUUAAUGGUGUUAGGGUUCUGGGACAUUUUAAGGCUCCUGAAGGCGCAAGCUCUGUAUAAUAGUAUUGUUCCUACUAAUUUUCUUGGUAGUCGUUCUAGUGUAAUUUGAGUUUGAGCCGAUUUUAAUGGAGGAGCUGAACUGAGGAGUUUUGUAGGUCUUUGAGCUCCAAUCAAGUGAAGAUAGCUAUUUUUGUGUUGAUUUUUCCUGUCUGUCCUUGAUGUAUAUAUUUAUAAAUUGGAACCUGAUGGGUUUUGUGCUAUCUAUUCCAUGUGUAUCAAUGAUGUAGAAAUUAUUUUCCAUGCUUUUCAAUGAUGGAAAUAUGCUACAUGUUACAUACUUGUCUUGUGUGUGAUAUUUUUUCAUCUCCAAGUUCAACCAGGGACAAGAUGUUAUAGCUGAUUAAACUUCUGCGAAUGGACUUGUUAGACUCUUGAGCUGAGCUGCAU
rnacentral:misc_RNA from 1 species